CGCGAUAUUCAUUGUAAAUAACAAAUGCACAAACGUUGACUCCGCACAUGCUCAGUCGGCUGCAAUAGUACGCGUUAAAUAAAAAGUGUUUAUGCGACAAUGAGCGUGCUUUAGUUUUUGCUGUCCGCCUGCAACACGGCGCACACACACAAACACCAGCGAAAAUAACAUUACAACAUCAUCCAACGGUUCGCUACAUAGUUGUGCUUUUUACUAAAACAUAGCUCAGGAAACUCAAAGAAACCUAGAAACAUACUUAUACACAUUUAUACAACAACACCUUAAAAGAAAGUUAUAGCUUGGCAUAUGUCUCAUAUGUCUGGUAUGACCUGUGAAGUACAAAACUCAGUACAAAACGUGUCCGGUAGCAUCAGUUCAACAGUAAUGGAUUCGAGUAACUGUAACUUUAUGGGUUACGAACGUUUUGGGAUACUAGUCCAAGAUGAUAUUUCCAAAGCCGAUGAUCUCCGAUCUAUAAACCUUCAAAAUGUUAUAAUCCCAGAUGGCAUCGCUCACACUGAUGAUAUUACUGGAGCCCUCAAUUCUGAAGAUGCUAAAGUUUUUGAUUCAUUUAUUCAAUCAGAGCCGCACUGUAGUGGCGCCUAUUUAGAUGGGAAAUCAUUAUUGAAAGACAGUAUGUGUUUGGCCUUAAACAAAACGAAGAAAAAACCCAACAACGUAGUGCAGAGCAACGAUAUCAUGGUUAAAAUAAACAGUUCAAAACCAACCUUCAACAAUAGCGAGCAGCAAAUUCCCCAAACCAUAGUGAAUUGCAUUCAAAAUCUGCCAGAGCAUGAUGUGACCAGAGUGCGAACGGUAGACCCAGGAACAAGCCUUAAUAGUAAAGAUAUGGGUGCAAAUAAUAUGAACUUAAUGGCCCCAAAUGUCAAAUCAAGAAGAUGGGAGCAGAAAUUGGUGCAAAUCAAAACAAUGGAAGGUGAAUUCAGUGUGACAAUGUGGGCUUCUGGGACAUCAGAUGAUGAAUAUUCGGAAUCCGAACAAAAUAUCGAAGAUACAGAAACCGUUUCUAAUGCAGCUGAAAUUUCCCCACUAUCGAGGAAAGACAGUAUUUUUCCAACCGAUGAAACAUUGUUGCAAGAACACGUUUUCUUCCAGCACCCGCAUGAAAUAUUAUUACACCAUCAGCUGGUGGCUCCUAUGGCAGCGCCAUCGUUGGAGUUUGUAGAGCAGGAGAAGGAUUACAAGAAAUAUCAAAUAGAUGAGAAUAAACCAAAAGAGAAGAAACAACCCACACAAACCAAGGCCAUAUCGAUUAAUAACAGUAAACUAAGUCCAAACUGUGUAGCACAACCAUCGUAUGCGAUUGCAGCACAGGGGAAUCAGCUCCUUGGUGGACAUGCAGUUUUACCUGUCGAUACCCAAACGCUGUCUGAGACCGAAGCUGAAAAUGAUUGCGAUUUGCCUUCCCAAGUAUCUGAAUCCAGCGGAGCUUUGCCCUUUAGGAUGGUUCCUCAAGGUAGGCUGCAAACUGAUGCCAGCACAAUGCCACCUCAAUUACUGUACAAUAACGGCUCAAUGGCAUCGCCGGCAAAUGAUAAUGCCCCGAAUGAGUCAACCGAAGUCUCGCCCUAUGCAAAUGAUAAGAAAAUUGCCUGCCCCCAUAAGGGAUGUCAUAAGUAUUUCCGCGACUCAUCUGCGAUGCGCAAACACUUACAUACGCAUGGUCCCAGAGUUCAUGUGUGUGCCGAGUGCGGCAAAGCAUUUGUGGAAAGUUCAAAACUAAAAAGGCAUCAAUUAGUUCAUACAGGAGAGAAGCCUUUUCAGUGUACCUUUGAAGGUUGCGGUAAACGAUUUUCGCUUGACUUUAAUUUGAGAACACACGUGAGAAUACACACUGGAGAUAGACCAUUUGUUUGCCCCUUCGAUGGAUGCAACAAGAAAUUUGCCCAAUCCACAAACCUCAAAUCACAUAUAUUAACACAUGCGAAAGCCAAACGGAAUGCAGGCACUGUGCGUAAUAACACCUGUCCCAGUAACGAAUCAAGCAGUCCCGUCGAGGGAAGCUCUACGAAUUUUGUAAAAGUUGAAAUGCGUGAUAAUGUGUCGGAUACACCUUUUAUGUAUGCAGAGUGAAAUGCAGAACAUAGGUCUAGGAUAGGAAUAAGGAUAUCAUAAGCCUGUUUAUCAAAGGAUUAGUAAGAGAAACAAAUGCAGAAAUAUUUUGGGAACAUCCGCAGAUCGUCUACUAGAGCCUAAGGGAGCAUGGUACUGUUUCUUGAGAUUAGCUGGAAGAACGUAUUUUUUGGAUUAAAUUGAAAUAAGCUUUUGUUUAUCGUGCCAAUAGCGAACGGAAUAACAUGAAAUUGUAAAUAAAAAUUGAAAAAUAUAUGCAAUUAUCACAUACAGCAAAA